AUUAAAUUUUCUUUUGUUUUAUUCUCUAGUCAGGCCCUCAUUCUCUCUCUACACCUUGUAGAGGGCAAAGGGUGAUUCUGUUUUCCACUUUUUAAUUUUGACCACCACCGGCAACUCUCACCACCACCACCGGCGACUCCUGGCGGCCACCACCACCGCCGGCGACCAACCCUUCGUGAUACCACAGCACGCGAAAAGCACAACAACACCAGCACGCGAAAAUUGCGACGACAAAUUCCAUGGCAUCAUUUGUGAAGAUCAGCGAUGUUCAUUUUAGGAAGAUAAGGGGUACCUCGGGUUCAAAUGUUGCGGUUGCGGUGCUUUAUUGCAGCAGUGCAAUCCCUUCUGAAGGCAUUGAGUUGGCCGACAUAGAUCUUACCCUCAGUCCCAAUGCUCUGAAGAAGUUUCCUUUGUCUGUGACAGGCUAUUCUAAAACAUUCAGUAGAGGGAAGCAAAAUCCCCCGGCUUGCCGAUAGAUUCUCAUUCAAAGGAACUGUGCAAUUUUGGAUACAAUGUCGCGUUGAACAGAGACCAGUUACACUUUAAAACAAAGUGACUGUAGGAAUGUUGUAUUAAGAAUUCCAGAUUCUUUCUUUCAAUGAAAUAUGAAUUCCAAAUUCUUUCUUACAAA